rnacentral:rRNA from 1 species
AUACGGAGGGUCCAAGCGUUAUCCGGAAUCAUUGGGUUUAAAGGGUUCGCAGGCGGUUUAAUAAGUCAGUGGUGAAAUCUCGGGGCUCAACCUCGAAACUGCCAUUGAUACUGUUAGACUUGAAUACAGCUGGAGUAGGCGGAAUGUGUAGUGUAGCGGUGAAAUGCUUAGAUAUUACACAGAACACCGAUAGCGAAGGCAGCUUACUAAACUGUGAUUGACGCUCAUGAACGAAAGCGUGGGGAGCGAACAGGAUUAGAUACCCCAGUAGUCC